rnacentral:rRNA from 1 species
UACGAAGGGUGCAAGCGUUACUCGGAAUUACUGGGGCGUAAAGCGUGCGUAGGUGGUGAGUUAAGUCUGUCGUGAAAGCCCCCGGGCUCAACCUGGGAAUGGCGAUGGAUACUGGCUCGCUAGAGUGCGGUAGAGGAGAGUGGAAUUCCCGGUGUAGCAGUGAAAUGCGUAGAGAUCGGGAGGAACAUCAGUUGCGAAGGCGGCUCUCUGGACCAGCACUGACACUGAGGCACGAAAGCGUGGGGAGCAAACAGG